rnacentral:rRNA from 1 species
UACGGAGGGUGCAAGCGUUAUCCGGAUUCACUGGUUUAAAGGGUGCGUAGGUGGGUUGGUAAGUCAGUGGUGAAAUCUCCGAGCUUAACUUGGAAACUGCCAUUGAUAUUAUCAGUCUUGAAUAUUGUGGAGGUCAGCGGAAUAUGUCAUGUAGCGGUGAAAUGCUUAGAUAUGACAUAGAACACCAAUUGCGAAGGCAGCUGCUACACAUAUAUUGACACUGAGGCACGAAAGCGUGGGGAUCAAACAGG